GCGUUUGUGGUUUAGUGGUAAAAUCCAUCGUUGCCAUUCAAGGAGAUUUCCUAUCUCUUGAACAGUCUCGAUGGGCCCCGGGUUCGAUUCCCGGCGAACGCA